GCAGGGUGUGAGGGAGCCGCAGGGUGUGAGGGAGCCGCAGGCAGCCGCGGGGACUGCCCACACCGCUCCGUGUAAAGGGGCACAGGAUGCACACACGACAGAACAAGCAGGCACCCUGAGGAGUGACUAAGGCUGCACUUCCCGAAGAACACUUCAAAUGAGAGCUCGUGUGUGACUGAUGCCUGGUUAGCAGUACAGGGAUCCUCUCUCCUGCCCCACCAGCCAGCUGUGUUCAGAAAAAAGGCAUCAUCUUCUACACAUCCUCCAAAUCUCCAGCAAUCUCACAGAAGUCAAAGUUUUAUCAAAGGAGAUCUUUGAUCUUCAUUAAUUCCACUACCCAAUGUGAACCUAACUAACAGGGUCCAAACACUACUAAAGCAAAGAGAGCAUAUAGAAUCAUUUCUACCAUUAAUUUACAACUAAGCCUUAAACAGGAGAAGUAAUAAGGAGAAAUCUGGAUUACUAUCCCUUCCUUCUCCCUCAUGAGAAAGAGGACUCCAGACACAUUUCACUGUGUGGAAAUUUCAAAUUUGUAAUCUGAUUAAGGUGUCUGACCACAGCUGUUUGAGUGAGCCAGCAGACACUUGUCACUGCAAACUAUGUUGAAGUUCAAGAUCUACAGAGCAGUGUAGAUCUUCAGAAUAAUACUGGAAAUGUUGGGGGUUUUUCCCUCCCCAAGUUCUGUUAUUAAGGGAAGUUUUAAGCAUGGUUGAAGUAAAGACCAUACAUACCAUCAUAACUUUUCCCAUGCAGACAAAACAAUUCAGGCCAAAUGACAUCCAGUAUUAUUCACCAAUAGCUCUUUACCUGGUUUCUAUAAUAGACAGUUAUCACUCUUGCCCUGCCAUUCCAGUCCAAUUUGUACCUUCCUACUACAGUGCCCCAAUGAGCUUUCUUGUGUUUUCCUGCAAUGCCUCAGCUUUAGGUGAGGCUAUUACUUCUACUGAAAACCACAAGCAUGUUAGUAUACUCUUGCUUUGGGGUCAACUACUUUCUCUGUGAAAUGAAAGAGGUUUUAUGUAAUGUUGUUAUUUACUGAAUUCUUGUUUUGUGUCCUUUAAGAUAACUAAAAUAAUUAAGAGGUAUUUCAGGCUUCACCUGUAGGCUAAUACAUCACCUUGAACCUCAGUGCAAACCCUUCUGUGCUAUCAGCUUAAAAAUAAAAGCUCCCCUAUACCCAACAAGGAAGUUACUGUGCAGCUCAGAAACUGAUGACCACUUGUAAGUAAUAUUUAAAUCAAGCAAUUUCUCCACAUAAAUUUAGAGAGAAAUUUGCAGAAUUACAGAUGUUGUGCUAAUUAUGUGUUAGCCUUUCCUGAAAAUUAAAAGGCAAAAGAAGCAUUAAAAAAAGUUUGGUGUUAAGCAAAAACCCAAUUCUUACACUAAAACUCACCCAUGCUCUGAUGCAUUAUGCUUUUUCACAUUGACAAGAACACUUAAAAUGUUAAGAGAACUUGGUACUAAAUAAUAGCCAUUAUAAUAUUUAUGGUGUUAAGUGCAUCUGUCCCAUUUGUAAUUAGGAGUGAAGUGGCAGUUUCUGAGGUUAGAAUCUGCAGCCCAGCAGGUUUAAGAGAGACCUUGUUAGGGACAAUAAACCCUGGAGGAGUUAUCACUGUAGGGGCUCUCUUGUGUCAGGAAAAUAGAAAUAGCAUAAUAUGCUCGCAAGUCACAUAACAUUUGGGUACUGGAAGGACACAUUUUUGUUCCAUACAAGUGUAAAGCAAAUUUAAAAGAAGAUUCUCUAAUGCAAAAUAUACACAGCUAAGUAAAUCUUCUAUACUUGAAUAUGAUGAUUUUUGUUCCAAAUACAUUGAUAACCAGGAGCUUUUUUACAGGAAUUGUUGCCAAAUCCAGAUUAAACUCUUAACAUUUCCCUUCAGGUAAUGGAAAAUCAAGAUGAGGCACUGCUUCCACAGCUCCUUGCAAUACUUACUGUUCAGACCACAUAAAAAGAUUUAAGUACACGCUAGUGAACAAAACUUGGAAAUUCUCUUUACUGGCUUCCUUGGGUGCUUGCCUGAGAUUUAAAGAGACAAAGAAAUCUUACUUUUUGUCAUGAAUUAAUAGAGCUAUUUGAUCCAAACUACAGAGACAUUCAAGCUGCUAGUAAUCCUCAUAUUAAUGAUUUUCUGAUAGUUCUGCUAAUGAUUUUACAUUAAGAAUCAGUCACCAAAUUAACAUACUUCAAACUGCAGCAACCUGAAUUUUUGAUUUAGCUUUCCUCUGAUGUUUUUUCCCCUCCCAGUAAAACAGGAAGAAAACCUGCAGCAAGUAGGUACUUUCUGAACACAUUUAUGCCUUGCAUAUCCUAUUAAUACAAUGCACACCAAAAAAAAUCCUAUCUAAAUGAAAUGUCAUGGUAGAUGACAUUAACAGUAUUUUUUUCUCUAAGAAAAAAAGCACUAGCUUCCAGGUACACUAACACAAACUGUAACUAUAAAUGCAUUAAGAGGCUUCAGUCGUUUGAUGGUAGACUUAGUGUGAAUGCUGAGGUGUUUUAACCGUGUCCAACUAGCAAGAUGAUGAUUAGCACUUCCACUAGCAGGGAAGUCAAAGCUCUGAAUAAUUGCAAAGAUCUGUAAGAUUAAAGCUUUGAGCAUUCUGUGGUUUUUAAAUCCAUACUCAGAGCUGCCCACAUACUCUUAGCAUGUAGGAUUUUUUCCAGAAACCCUUAAAUCAUGCAGUUUUCUCCAUCACAGGCAACCCACCUCAUUUUCUAAGAAGACCAAAGUGUACCUUCUGAUGCCAAGUUCUUGUUCUGCUUCAAGCUCUAACUCAAUCUCUCCAAAACUAAUGAUGAAUAAACUUCACAGAGAGGUAAACUUAAGUAGGGCAAAUCCAGGUUCAGUACCAGGCUCCUGAGAAUACUGCAUUUAAAGAAUUGUAUGAAAUCAUUCAACAGGACUUGGUGCUGAGAAAUAUAUUUUUCCUUUCCAAAUCUCCUACUGAGAAAGAGGCAGGGUGCAGGGGAUUAAAAACACAAAAAACAAUACCCACCCUCCCCACUCUUGUUUUUGUUUCCAUACUGAUUCACAACUCCUUUAGUCUACAACUCUUCCUUCUACUCUUCAUUUCCAUCCAGAUUUUCUCUCCACUGCUGGGGAACUGCUACAGCAGACAUUUCAGCACAAAAGGAAGGAGCUUUCUUUACUUCUGUUCUACAAGCAGCACCAUCCCCAGCUGAAAGUUAUUACUAGUCAGUGCUAAGUGGCACCUGUCCUCAAGGGAUCACCCUACCCACUGCAGCAUGGAUGUAAAUAAAGCCCUACAGCUCAUUCUGUCUUUUGACAAGCUUCUCCUCAGCUUCCCCUGCAGCCCUGUGUGUGUUCACGUGGGGAGUGCCAGGGGGAGUGGGGCAUGGGAGGAGAAGGCACCUCAGCUGAUCUGGACACACACUGGCAAUUUUACAGGUUUGAAAUUAAGUCCCUGUUCCAGAUCUGAAGGCACUAGAAGUUACCUAGUAAGAAUUUACCAGUAUAAAAGUUAAACAUUUCAGGCUUCUGGUAACACAGUAGUUAACUUCUAUCUUUAUUCAUAAUUUAAAAUGAAGGCUAAGAAACCUUUACUCUAAAGUUCAUAUGAAGGAAAACAGUAUUUUUAUCCUGUCCUAAUAGUCUGUACACCUGUUUAGAGAUAAUUGCUGUAUCCUUUACCUAUUCAAGACACAGAAAUAAAAACGAGAAGUUCAGUUUGAUUAAAUAGCUUAACACUAGACUUGCUACCCACAUACAAUUUACAUGCUUAUUUUGAAAGAAAAAAAACUUUUGGAAAGGUUCAGCUUUCUCCCCCACCCCCCCACAACUGAUAAUCUUUACAUGUUUAAAUUAAAAAUAACAAAACCAACAACAAAAAACACUUGUACAGAAUCUAGGGAGAACAGGAGUUUAUUGAGUUUUACCUGUCUGAAAAGUGCUGGUGAAAAGUUGCCAUUUCAUGCUUUGUCUAUAGACAAGAUAAGUCAAAAGAGAAAUUGUUGCAAAAAACAAGCUCAUUUGAAAACUGAGUGUUUGUCCAGAACUUCUUACCAUUCCUAAGUGAACACAAAUGUGAGAAGUUUUUACAUGAAGCUAGUCCUUUUCAUUGUCAGAUGCAACAUCUACACUUAAGGUCCCUCACAACUAUUAAAAUACUUUCAGGCAGUAUUAAUACACAGAGAAGCAAUUAGUCAUAUCUUCAAGAAGCCAGGUAUCCCAGCUCUAAAAGUGCAUCAUUUAAAACAUUAGUAAUGGAAUAUUUUGAAAGAACAUCUCAUUCAGUAUUAAUGCAUGCCAUUAUUACAAAAAUAUUCAUUGCCUAUUGUAGGAACAACAACUUUCUUUUGUAGACAACAAAAAGCAUGCUGAAUGGUAUCAGAUCAAUAUAAAUCUAUUUUUAAUGAGGUUUAAGACACUGUUCAAGUCCCAUUAAGAGCAGCUUCCUCCAACUGUGCAUCAGUGUAGCCUUGCACAGCUGUUAAAAGUUUUUCACUAAUGUGGCUUAGACUGGCCCCAAACUUAAAGCAGGGCAUUAAGACAGGAUCUUGAAUUUUAGAAAUCCUUCAUUUAAUUUGUUUAAAUAAAAUAUUAAAAACCACUGUAAUAAUUAGGUAUAAAAGUUGUUAAGUAACAAAUUUGGGCCUAACUAGUACAACAUACAGGUAUUUACACAAAUGCAGAUUUGCUGUGGUCUUUAAUAUUGGGAAGACAUCAGAAUGUGAACCAUGAGCUCAAGCCCACCCCCCCAAGACUGAAAGACACAAAAACCUUGGGGAAGAGUAAUAGAAAUUGCAUGUCAGUUCAACUGCCCAAGUCAGCCCAAUAGCAUGGCUCAGCCUGGCUCAAAGUGAGCAGCAGCCACAAGUAAACCAGUCUGGCUGCAGACAUUUUAGCAGCUGCACUUUAAGUUACACUGCAAGUAAUUAACCCCAAGUCAACAAGGUAUUUCUACAAAGCAGUUGAUGACACCAAUUUUCCAAAUGGAUGAUGAUGAAAUACAUACAGAGUUCAAGAUGAAAGAGCAGAUGAAGGCAUGAGAUGUUAAAAUGAUGCGACAAAACAGAUAUAUAAAUUAAACAAGAAUGUUUAAUCAAGACAAUCCUUUCUUUUUCCUUUUUUUCUUAAACAGAGGUUCUUUCAGAGUUUUUUUAAUUGGAAAAUCAAAGCCUAUUCCCACAAUAGUGAGGCCACUUCUUUCAAGCAGCUCUGUUGUACAACUGUUACCAGGAUCCUAAACUAUUUAAAUUGUUUUCUAUUGAUAUUUCUGAACUAAAAAGUUUCAAACUAUUGUAGAUUUUAUUUGUGCUCCACAUAUUACAAGCAAUUAACAACACAAAGAAAGGUUCAAUUCCUCAGCUAGAACACCAAACUCUAUACCAAGUAUUACAUGUACACAAUACUUGCACAGUGACAAGCACAAGAAAGUACUAGUUGAGCACUUACUUUCAGAUAUUCAUACCAACUCUUAAAAUCCACUUCAGUUCUCCCACGCCACCCAGUCUACAAUUUAAGGCAUCUCCACACAGCCAUCCAUCCACUGACCCACCCACUCCCAUACACACAAUUUAUGUUGGAGGUGUUUACUCUUACAAAGAAAUCACUAUGUCAAUCAGGUACCAUUUAUUAUUUAUCCCUCUAACUGUGUCUGCAUUGAGAUAUGACAGUUAAACCAGUGUUAAAUCAAUACAAUAUUUACAGAGCACAGCACAUUAAGCUUGAGACACUCACUUGGAGGAUAAAACCACAUUUUAGAGCAGGACAAAGGUCACCAUUAUGUGUUUGAAAACAGCUAUUUACAGGUCCCUAUGACAUAACUAUAGUCUGUACACUGUUCCAA